GACGAACCGUGCGAACGUUGUUCGGAUUCACUGGGCUUAAAGGGCGCGUAGGCGGGCGACCAAGUCGGGGGUGAAAUCUUUCGGCCCAACCGGAAAAGUGCCCCCGAUACUGGCCGCCUCGAGGGGGGUAGGGGCAUGCGGAACUUCCGGUGGAGCGGUGAAUGCGUAGAUAUCGGAAGGAACGCCGGUGGCGAAAGCGGCGUGCUGGACCCCUUCUGACGCUGAGGAGCGAAAGCGUGGGGAGCGAACAGG
rnacentral:rRNA from 1 species